rnacentral:misc_RNA from 1 species
AGUGACAUAGGAGUUGAGGCCGCCUACUUUCUCAACGUGUCCUGCUCCGCUGGCUGGGUUCAGAAUUGGUGGGUUAGAGCAGCACUGAGGUCCUGACAUUUUCUUUUUUUUUCUUCUCUUGGAUCAACUGAACCAAGCAAGUGACUAGCUCUUCAGAAUAGGAUCUCAAAGAAAAGACGACGGCAUUGGUAUUUCCACCAAUCUGGCACCUGCUGGAUUUUAUAGUUGCAGUUGAGCCGGGCUGGCUGGAA